rnacentral:tRNA from 1 species
GUGGUUGUGGCUUAGAGAUAAAGUGCUCGCCUAGCAUGCAAGAUGCACUGGGUUCGAUCCUCAGCACCACA